rnacentral:rRNA from 1 species
GUACAAGCCAAAUUAAGGUGAAACCGCGAAAGGCUCAUUAAAUCAGUUAUGGUUCCUUAGAUCGUACCCACAUUUACUUGGAUAACUGUGGUAAUUCUAGAGCUAAUACAUGCAAAUAGAGCUCCGACCGGAGACGGAAGGAGCGCUUUUAUUAGAUCAAAACCAAUCGGUGUCGAGCACGCUCGUCAUCGUAAUACUUGGUGACUCUGAAUAACUUUUCGCUGAUCGCACGGUCUCGCACCGGCGACGCAUCUUUCAAAUGUCUGCCUUAUCAACUGUCGAUGGUAGGUUCUGCGCCUACCAUGGUUGUAACGGGUAACGGGGAAUCAGGGUUCGAUUCCGGAGAGGGAGCCUGAGAAACGGCUACCACAUCCAAGGAAGGCAGCAGGCGCGCAAAUUACCCACUCCCGGCACGGGGAGGUAGUGACGAAAAAUAACGAUACGGGACUCAUCCGAGGCCCCGUAAUCGGAAUGAGUACACUCUAAACCCUUUAACAAAAAUCAAUUGGAGGGCAAGUCUGGUGCCAGCAGCCGCGGUAAUUCCAGCUCCAAUAGCGUAUAUUAAAGUUGUUGCGGUUAAAAAGCUCGUAGUCGAAUCUGUGUCCCGCGCCGCCGGUUCAUCGUACGCGGUGUC